UACGGAGGGUGCAAGCGUUGUUCGGAAUCACUGGGCGUAAAGCGCGUGUAGGCGGCCUCUUAAGUCUGGUGUGAAAGCCCGGGGCUUACCCCCGGAAGGGCACUGGAGACUGGGAGGCUCGAGUACCGGAGAGGAAGGUGGAAUUCCUGGUGUAGCGGUGAAAUGCGUAGAUAUCAGGAGGAACACCGGUGGCGAAGGCGGCCUUCUGGACGGCUACUGACGCUGAGACGCGAAAGCGUGGGGAGCAAACAGG
rnacentral:rRNA from 1 species